GACGAACGCUGGCGGCGUGCCUAAUACAUGCAAGUCGAGCGAGAUCCAUCCGGUAGCAAUACCGGUGAAGAUCUAGCGGCGAACGGGUGAGUAACACGUGAGAAACCUGCCCCGAAGACCGGGAUAACCCGAGGAAACUCGGGCUAAUACCGGAUACCCCCACCAGGUCGCAUGGCCAGGUGAGGAAAUGCCCCGGUGCUUUGGGAGGGUCUCGCGGCCUAUCAGCUAGUUGGUGAGGUAACGGCUCACCAAGGCAUCGACGGGUAGCUGGUCUGAGAGGACGAUCAGCCACACUGGGACUGAGACACGGCCCAGACUCCUACGGGAGGCAGCAGUAGGGAAUCUUGCGCAAUGGGCGAAAGCCUGACGCAGCAACGCCGCGUGGGGGAUGAAGGCUCUCGGGUCGUAAACCCCUUUCAGGAGGGACGAAAAUGACGGUACCUCCAGAAGAAGCCCCGGCCAACUACGUG
rnacentral:rRNA from 1 species